UACGUAGGGUGCGAGCGUUAAUCGGAAUUACUGGGCGUAAAGCGUGCGCAGGCGGCUUUGCAAGACAGAUGUGAAAUCCCCGGGCUCAACCUGGGAACUGCAUUUGUGACUGCAAGGCUAGAGUACGGCAGAGGGGGAUGGAAUUCCGCGUGUAGCAGUGAAAUGCGUAGAUAUGCGGAGGAACACCAAUGGCGAAGGCAAUCCCCUGGGCCGGUACUGACGCUCAUGCACGAAAGCGUGGGGAGCAAACAGG
rnacentral:rRNA from 1 species